GUUCACGCCCCCCAGGGCCGGGGGAGAGAAGUCCGAGAGAUAUCGGGAUUGAGAUUAAUAACAAGGUGCAGAGUACGAGAAGGAGGAGGAGGAGGAGGAGGGCUGAUUGACGUGGAGGGGCUGGCGGGAGCCGGUCACUCCCCUGCGCCGAGGGGAAGGGUGAGAGAAGGGGGCGGGGCUGCGGCGGCGCGCCGAGGCCCCGCCCCCAGGGCGCUGCGCUGCGCGUGCGCGCGCGCCCGCCAAGAACCUUGCCUGUUUGUCUGCUUUACGCCUGCCUUGUUCUCUUCGCUGGGCUGGAGUGAAGAGCCGAGCCGGGACGGCUGGCGGCAUCUCAAAACCCCACAUCCCACCCAGCCACGUGGGGAAGAGACUGGGGAGCCCGCCUCACCCUCUGUCGGUGAUCUGGCUGCAACAUCUGUCACCCAGAUGAUCGCCAGGGUUGAUUCAGCUGAUCUGGCUGGCUAGGCCAGUGUCCCCUUCCUCCCUCACCACUCCAUGAGCGUCCCUCCCAAAGCUUCACACUCAGUUGAAGAUGAUGGCCUUCCCCCAAUAGAGAAGGACUGGUCUUCGGUUGAGGGUAUACGAGUAGCUGCGCUCCCCUGCUAGAACCUCCAAACAAGCUCUCGAAAUUUUUUUUCUCAUUUGCACUAAAAUUAUGAUUAAAGGAAUAAUUUUCAAAUA